UAUUCAGUGUUUAAAGCUAUUCGAGAUUUUUGAUAUUCGACUUUCUUGAAUUCGAGAUUUUCAGUAGACAUAAAUAAAAACAAAAUUCUUUACAAACAACAAAUAAUGUAUGUACAUAAUUAUUUAAAAUGAAAAGAUGCUGUUGUGUGAAGAAUUGCAAAACCCGCGGCGAAAAUAGCGAAGACGAAAAAUUAAUUCUUUUUAAAGUACCCGCUCAUGAUCAAAUAAGAGAAAAAUGGGAAAUUAUUUUAAAUACCAAAAUAAGUUAAUCAUCAUUUGUUUGUCAAAAACAUUUUCACAAAUAUGAUAUAAGAACGAGAGAAAUUAUUCGUGACUCUGAUGGCAUUGUUAUAUAUUUCUAUCCAUUUAAGCAGAAAGUACUGGUAAAAGGAAGUUUGCCUUGCAAUCACAGUAUUCACAGUAUUGCAAGUCACAGUAAGAGAAAUGAGAUACCAAAAAAUCAAAAUCUGAUGCGAAUAAUGAUGAAAAUUGACUAAGGAAUAUAAGAAAUGUAGAAAAAUGAGUUGUCAUUAUUAUUAAUAACAUUAUUAUUAAUAAGCAAUCUAACGAAGAAAAAGCUAUAAUGAUAAUUGUCAAUGGUAAAUUUGAAGUGUAUUUAUGUAUUCUAAGGAAAGAAUAAUGAAGUAUCUACACGAAAGGAAAACUUCCAAUACUAAAGGAGUUCGAGGAAUUUCUGAGUCGCUAAUCAGGAAUUUUAAUUUAGUUUAAAAAAAAUCAAAAUGGCAGAUCUAAUAUGGCAAACGAAAAAAGUCAAGAUUCGAUCGGAUUAUUGUGAAACUUUUUAUAAAAAGAUUUUAAUUAUGUUAAAUACAAAUUUUAUGACACAAAAACCCCAGAAUAACAAGUUUCAUGACAAUCUGAAAGAUUUUUUAUUUUGAGUUAUGCAUAUUGAAUCCGAAAUUUUGAAUUUUUAAAAUCUGAUUGUAAAACCUAUCUGGAGCACGAUUUAUGUACUUUCGAUGGUAAUCAAAAAAAUGUUUUCCCAUCGAACUUUAUAGAUUUAAAAAAAAAUUAUGAAAGAUCUUGUGAUUUUGCAAUUGAAUAAUAAAAAGAAAUAAUAAACAAUUA